UACGUAGGGUGCAAGCGUUAAUCGGAAUUACUGGGCGUAAAGCGUGCGCAGGCGGUUCGGAAAGACAGGUGUGAAAUCCCCGGGCUUAACCUGGGAACUGCAUUUGUGACUGCAUUGCUGGAGUGCGGCAGAGGGGGAUGGAAUUCCGCGUGUAGCAGUGAAAUGCGUAGAUAUGCGGAGGAACACCGAUGGCGAAGGCAAUCCCCUGGGCCUGCACUGACGCUCAUGCACGAAAGCGUGGGGAGCAAACAGG
rnacentral:rRNA from 1 species